CACCGCAGCCGCCGGUCCCGGUAGGCAGCGGGACACGCUCAUUGGCUGAGCGCCCGUUGCCCUUGGCUCGCUCAUAGGCGGAGCGCCCCGUCAGCCUGGCGCGCGCCGUUGCCGGAGGGAGGGCCCACGCUGAGCCAUGGCCGGUGUGGAGCUGUUUUCCCAUCCUGCGCUCAGCACGCGGUACCGGGCCGGGAUCUGCUCCACUGCUGCCCUGGCGCUGCUAAUCAUCACGGUGCUCACCUACGUGCCACCGCUGCUGGUGGCAUACCGAAGCCACGGUUUCUGGCUGAAGCAGAGCGCGUACCUAGAGCAGCCCACGGUGCGGUUCCGGUAUGAGGUGCUUUUCGUGGCCACCAUCGGCCCCGGCAGCUUCUUGGCGUGGAGCACGUUCCCAGCGUUCAACAGGCUGCAGGAGGACCGGCUGCGAGUGCCGCUCCUCUCGACAAGAGAAGAAGACAAAAACCAAGAUGGCAAAAUGGAUCUGUUGCAUUUUAAACUGGAACUUCCACUACAACCUACAGAGCAUGUAGUUGGGAUUCAGCUGAUUCUGCUCUUUUCUUACCAGCUUUAUAGGAUGUCAACACUUGUGAUGCAGAGCAUGGCUUUUCUUCAGUUUUUUUCUCCUGUGCCAGGGUCUCAGCUCUAUAUGAAUGGAGACCUGAAAUUGAACCAGAGGCAAUUACUUAACCAUUGUGGACUGGAUACCAGAUACAAUGUAUCUGUGGUCAAUGGUACAAGUCCUUUUGCAAGUGACUAUGAUCUAAUAAACAUCCUGGCAGCAUAUUGGGACAGAAAUGUGACAACAGUCUUUUCAGAUCCCAACCCUGUCUGGAUGACUGGAAGAGCAGUAGAUACACCAUUCAUCAUUAAUGCCACUAUUCAUUACCCAGUAGAAGUUAUCUUAUAUCCUUUGAAAACUGUAUAAACUGUGACAUAACUGGGUUGCAUUAUUUGGGCCUUCACAUAUGAGCCAAACAAAACCUUUUUUCUUACAUACUUGUUGCUAAACUCCUUUGUUAGCUAAGCAAAUGUUAGAGUUUUGGACCUAACUGAAUACCUCAUUUCUCCAGAUGGUUCUGCUUGCAUGACUGCAUUCUGCCUUUCUCUGCUGGAAACCUGUUGCUUUUCAGCCUUACUAAAUUAACCUUUAAGGCAGUUCCUUAGUAAUGCCCAGUGGAUACUCUUAGUAAGUCUUGCUUUGCUCCUACAGCACUUACUGUCAUAAUCUGCUGUGGCGUGCCAGUACUAGAAAAGCAUGGUACUAUAUUCUGUGGCCUAAAGCAAAUCAUUAGAAAUCUAUAUGCAAGGUAAGAUCACCAUAUAAUAGCCCUUGCAGUGGAUGUCACAGACAGACUUGCAAUUUUUUAUUCAUUGUGGUUAUUUUAUGUUUUCUUAGACAAGAACAAGCCUGUGUUUAGAAGAAUCUGUAUGGAGCACAUUUCUUAGGAGAAUCAGGUGCUGACUACAACUCCAGUAUCACCAAUUCUCCCAGCAUCUCCCGUACUGUCCUACAAACAGCACCA